rnacentral:rRNA from 1 species
CUUUCCAAGAUUAAUCAAUAUUAUAAGCAAAGGAGUAAGAAGAAUUGGGUUUCUAAAGGUGAUCGUAAUACUAAAUUUUUUCAUCAGGCUGUUAUUAAGCGUAGGAAGAGAAAUACUAUCUGUUCUAUUAAGGAUGAACAUGACCUAAUUCACUAUCCUAAUGCCAUUAUGCAAACCUCUGUGAACUACUUCAACUAUAUUUUUUCAUCCCCUAAUGUGAAUCAGGGGUACAAUCAUAACAAUGAUCCUACUUAUUCCAUUCCGGAUAACGCUGAAAUCAUGCAGAUUCUCAAAGAUAUGAAGCUUAACGCUUCUCUUGGACCUGAUGGUUUCAAUGUUGAAUUUUAUUUAGCUACUUGGGACUGGAUUGGGGAAGAGGUAACUCAACUUGUUACUAAUUUUUAUCAAACAGCUACCCAUCCUUCUCAUAUUAAUAACACCAAUAUUGCUCUCAUUCCUAAGAAAUUGGUGCUCCUGCUUCCUACUGAUUACAGGCCU